CACCACAAAAAAAGAAGGCAGUAAUGGAGAAAAUGAGAGACAAAAAAAGGUAGAAAGUAUAAAGCAAACAAAUGACAAAAUGGCAGAAGUCUUUACUUAUACUAAUUACUUUAAAUGUAAAUGGAUUAAGCUCUCCACACAAAAGACAAAGAUUGGGCCCCGAUGAACAGUGAGGGUUGAUGGUAUGGACUCAGGUGCGCCUGCUCUGAGGGGGCUCGUCAACCAAUGGUCAGUUAUUAAACAUCUCUACUGAACGGCUGUUGUGGGGAAACAAAGGUGAAUAGAUCUCUCCCCACAGAGCUCACACUCCAGUUGAAGAGGUGAACAUGUAAAUAAUUGCAAUUAAAAAAUACUAUGGUAGGAUUUCCUUUUUUUAAAGUCUGUAUUAUAUUCCAUUGAAUGUAUAUACCACAUUUUCUUUAUCCCAUUCAUUCGCUGAUGGAAUCUGCAACAACAUGGACGAACCUGGAAGACAUUUCGCUAAGUGAAGUAAGCCAGUCUCAGAAGGACAAAUACUGCACGACUCUACUUAUAUGAGGUGCCGUCUACUGACAGCUUCGUGUACCAUCUAGUGCUCAACACAACCUACGAGAUGUUUCCAGCCAGCGCUACUCGAUUGAGAAACGACUGGGGGAGAAGAGGGGAGAAAGCC